rnacentral:rRNA from 1 species
UACGAAGGGGGCUAGCGUUGCUCGGAAUCACUGGGCGUAAAGGGUGCGUAGGCGGGUCUUUAAGUCAGGGGUGAAAUCCUGGAGCUCAACUCCAGAACUGCCUUUGAUACUGAGGAUCUUGAGUACGGGAGAGGUGAGUGGAACUGCGAGUGUAGAGGUGAAAUUCGUAGAUAUUCGGAAGAACACCAGUGGCGAAGGCGACUCACUGGACAUGUAUUGACGCUGAGGUGCGAAAGCGUGGGGAGCAAACAGG